rnacentral:rRNA from 2 species
UUGACCUCAAAUCGGGUGAGACUACCCGCUGAACUUAAGCAUAUCAAUAAGCGGAGGAAAAGAAACUAACAAGGAUUCCCCUAGUAACUGCGAGUGAAGCGGGAAAAGCUCAAAUUUAAAAUCUGGUGGCCUUUGGUCAUCCGAGUUGUAAUUUAGAGAAGCGUCUUCCGCGCUGGACCGUGCACAAGUCUCCUGGAAUGGAGCGUCAUAGAGGGUGAGAAUCCCGUCUUUGGCACGGAUCCCGGUGCUUCUGUGAUGCGCUCUCGAAGAGUCGAGUUGUUUGGGAAUGCAGCUCAAAAUGGGUGGUGAACUCCAUCUAAAGCUAAAUAUUGGCGAGAGACCGAUAGCGAACAAGUACCGUGAGGGAAAGAUGAAAAGCACUUUGGAAAGAGAGUGAAACAGUACGUGAAAUUGUUGAAAGGGAAACGCUUGAAGUCAGUCGCGUCGUCCGAGACUCAGCCUAGCCUCGGCNUGGUGUACUUCUCGACCGACGGGUCAGCAUCAAUUUCACCCCUUGGAUAAUGGCGAGGGAAAUGUGGCACCUUUGCGGGUGCGUUAUAGUCCCUCGUCGCAUGCAAGGGUCGGGAUUGAGGAACUCAGCACGCGCCUUUUGGUGUCGGGGCUUUUGCCCACGAUACGUGCUUAGGAUGUCGGGUC